rnacentral:rRNA from 1 species
UGCAGCGACGCCGCGUGAGGGAUGACGGCCUUCGGGUUGUAAACCUCUUUCAGCAGGGACGAAGCGCAAGUGACGGUACCUGCAGAAGAAGCACCGGCCAACUACGUGCCAGCAGCCGCGGUAAGACGUAGGGUGCGAGCGUUGUCCGGAUUUAUUGGGCGUAAAGAGCUCGUAGGCGGCUUGUCGCGUCGACCGUGAAAACUUGGGGCUCAACCCCAAGCCUGCGGUCGAUACGGGCAGGCUAGAGUUCGGUAGGGGAGACUGGAAUUCCUGGUGUAGCGGUGAAAUGCGCAGAUAUCAGGAGGAACACCGGUGGCGAAGGCGGGUCUCUGGGCCGAUACUGACGCUGAGGAGCGAAAGCGUGGGGAGCGAACAGGAUUAGAUACCCUGGUAGUCCACGCUGUAAACGUUGGGCGCUAGGUGUGGGGGGCCUCUCCGGUUCUCUGUGCCGCAGCUAACGCAUUAAGCGCCCCGCCUGGGGAGUACGGCCGCAAGGCUAAAACUCAAAGGAAUUGACGGGGGCCCGCACAAGCGGCGGAGCAUGCGGAUUAAUUCGAUGCAACGCGAAGAACCUUACCUGGGUUUGACAUGGCCGCAAAACUUCCAGAGAUGGGAGGUCCUUCGGG